GGCAACGCUUUCACACUGCCAAUGAUUCAUCCAGGAGUAGGAAUGAGUCUUGAUCAAUGAGACAUAGGGGAAGUCUGAUGGGUCCCCCGGGAAAGAUUUUCCUUCUUGAAAGAGAAUGAGCCACACAAAGAGAAAGACUUAUUGUCUCCAUUACCCUUGUUUUAUGCUUGGGAUGCUCUCAGUUGCUUGAAGGGUCCAGCCUAUGACCCUGAGACGGACAUUUUGACAUAAUGAAGGUGGCAGAGCAGAAGGAUGGAAAGUGCUUGGGUCCUCCAUGACAUUUCUGGGUCACGAAACUCACCUGGGGACCACCUACCUUCUUGGGUCCAGUGGGGAGACUCCUUCCUGAUCCGGGUGAAUUAUACUUCAUGGACAGCAAUUAAUCCACAAUAACAUCCCUGUCUUGUCUCUUGGGGUUUCUCCUAAUCCUUUUUGGGCUCUGUGAGAAAGACACUGCCUGUGUUGACCAGCAUCCAGCUCUCCUCUCCUUCCGGGCACAGGAAGACUGCUCAGCCCUCUUGCACGGGCCACAUGAGUUGUUCUAAUCAAACAAACGUGGAGCAGUGCAAAACCAGUGCACGAUUCUACACUCCCUCUUCCCCGAACUGCAUCCAAGAAGUCCACGCGUUCCAGAUUAUAGAGCUACGGGAUGAUAACUAUGCUACUCCAACUUGGUAGGCUUUCUGACUGCUGCUGAAAUGUGAGGCCCACUAACUGCCUACAUAUGGAUGAAAGUUCUCAUCAGCAGGAGAUGGGAGCUGGUGAAGAGUUUUUUCCCUUCCUCCUCCAAUACUGGCUAUCCUGAGAGGAAGUCGUUCAUAGGACCUUUCAUAAGACAGUCCUCGGGGACUGAGAAAUCAGUUGUGUUUGAUACAAAGCGGUGCCCAGAGUUUACCUUGGGAUCUGUUUUCUGGAAAGCCCAGGCUAAGACAUCAUAUAAUCCACAUCCAGCCAUGAAGCAGUCUGCACAAUAGGAAUAGUAAGGAUGGGGUGGAGUCAAGCAAUUUGGGCUCUGCUCUGGUCUCUGCC
rnacentral:lncRNA from 1 species